rnacentral:rRNA from 1 species
UGUGGUGGGAUCAUUCAGUCGGGGUGUCGCGUCGCAGGCUGGGCAUGCAUUAUGGUACCCGUGAGGGGGCCGGCUCGGCUAGCGUUGCGUGGCAAACCGACGCAUUUGUUUCCCAUCCGAAGGACGCCGCAACCGGUUGGUGGACGGUCUUAAGGGCGAGAAACGGAAGGUGGCCGGAGGCGUGCAUUUGUGUGUCGCCGGUUGUUAGCCAUCUCGCAGGACGGCCCGUCCGCCGACCGUGGCAAUAAAGAGGCCCGGCUGGGCUUCGUCGUCUCCUCCUUGCGUGACGAGCUAUACUAGCAGUCGCAGGAGUUCGUUGAGAGGUGCGUUCGCACGAAGCGAGUUCGUGGCAAGCACCGCUCCGUCUCCGUUGGUGAUGCGAGGCUCGUGGGAGUGAUUGACGGUUUGCGGCGAGUAGAUCGGUCACCCACCCGACCCGUCUUGAAACACGGACCAAGGAGUCU